rnacentral:rRNA from 1 species
UUGAACGCUGGCGGCAUGCCUUACACAUGCAAGUCGAACGGUAGAGGGGCAACCCUUGAGAGUGGCGAACGGGUGAGUAAUGCAUCGGAACGUGCCCAGUCGUGGGGGGAUAACGCAGCGAAAGCUGUGCUAAUACCGCAUGUGAUCUGUGGAUGAAAGCAGGGGACCGCAAGGCCUUGUGCGAUUGGAGCGGCCGAUGUCAGAUUAGCUAGUUGGUAGGGUAAAAGCCUACCAAGGCGACGAUCU